rnacentral:rRNA from 1 species
AUUGAACGCUGGCGGCAGGCCUAACACAUGCAAGUCGAACGAGUGGCGGACGGGUGAGUAAUGUCUGGGAAACUGCCUGCUGGAGGGGGAUAAAUACUGGAAACGGUAGCUAAUACCGCAUACCAUCGGAUGUGCCCAGAUGGGAUUAGCUAGUAGGUGGGGUAACGGCUCACCUAGGCGACGAUCCCUAGCUGGUCUGAGAGGAUGACCAGACACACUGGAACUGAGACACGGUCCAGACUCCGACGGGAGGCAGCAGUGGGGAAUAUUUGACAAUGGGCGCAAGCCUGAUGCAGCCAUGCCGCGGGUAUGAAGAAGGCCUUCGGGUUGUAAAGUACGUUCAGCGGGGAGGCGUUACCCGCAGAAGAAGCACCGGCUAACUCCGUGCCAGCAGCCGCGGUAAUUC